rnacentral:rRNA from 1 species
CGGUGGAGCAUGUGGUUUAAUUCGAAGCAACGCGAAGAACCUUACCAGGUCUUGACAUCCCGAUGCUAUUUCUAGAGAUAGAAAGUUACUUCGGUACAUCGGUGACAGGUGGUGCAUGGUUGUCGUCAGCUCGUGUCGUGAGAUGUUGGGUUAAGUCCCGCAACGAGCGCAACCCCUAUUGUUAGUUGCCAUCAUUCAGUUGGGCACUCUAGCGAGACUGCCGGUAAUAAACCGGAGGAAGGUGGGAUGACGUCAAAUCAUCAUGCCCCUUAUGACCUGGGCUACACACGUGCUACAAUGGUUGGUACAACGAGUUGCGAGUCGGUGACGGCGAGCUAAUCUCUUAAAGCCAAUCUCAGUUCGGAUUGUAGGCUGCAACUCGCCUACAUGAAGUCGGAAUCGCUAGUAAUCGCAGAUCAGCAACGCUGCGGUGAAUACGUUCCCGGGCCUU